CACGUAGGCGGAUCGUUAAGUCGGGGGUGAAAUCCUGGAGCUCAACUCCAGAACUGCCUUCGAUACUGGCGAUCUAGAGUCCGGAAGAGGUGAGUGGAACUCCUAGUGUAGAGGUGGAAUUCGUAGAUAUUAGGAAGAACACCAGUGGCGAAGGCGGCUCACUGGUCCGGUACUGACGCUGAGGUGCGAAAGCGUGGGGAGCAAACA
rnacentral:rRNA from 1 species